CGGAGCGGCGCUGACGGGGCUGCAGCAGGGCCUCAGGGGCUGCGAAGGGGACGUGUUCGCUCCGUUCUUCUUCAUGCACCAUCCCGGGUGAAGAAACGCUAAAAGUGAAAACCAACCAUGGCUUUUUCCAAGGUCUGAUUUUGUUUUAUUUUUUUUGGUCAUGCCCUGCCAUCUGUAGAGUUAGUGAGUCAACUAAGAAAAAGCUCUUUAAAGUACACCAGAAAACUUCUGGCCAGGAAAAUAAAUGCACUCCAGCAGGUACACUGAGUACUGAGCCACCACAAGUAUAA
rnacentral:lncRNA from 1 species